UCAGUUCCUCUUCUUCGACCUUCAGGCGAUAGGCAGGGCUUCAAUCUUCAUCCCCUUCUUCUACCUUCUGGCUUCUGCCCUUCUUCCUGACUCGGCGACUCCCUUCUUCUUCUUCGUUCCUUGACUCCUUCUUCUUCGUCGCAUUGGUGGAGGGCUGGAGGCUGGGGCCGCCAUCCUCUUCUUCGUCGCAUUGGGUGGAGCCGGCGUUUCUUCUUCGUCCCUUCUUCUCACUUCUCAGUUCUUCUUUGUGUUACUGACAGGUGAACAAAAUACAUGACCAAAUAAGAGAAGAUGGUCACAUGAGUCCUUUUGAUUGGUGGGUGUCCUAUGGAUCAGAAAUGCCCGUGCUUCAUAAACUUGCUUUGAGAUUACUAUCACAACCUGUUACAUCAUCGUGUUGUGAAAAAAAUUGGAGCAUAUAUGGUCAUAUAUACAACAUUAAAAGGAACAGGCUCACUAGCCAACGUGCAGAGGACUUGGUUUAUGUGCAUUCCAAUUGGCGUCUUCUUUCAAGAAAAGAAAAUGAAUACAGAUGUGGAUCAUCGCAAUAUUGGAUGUAAAUCAAGAUGAAUUUGAUUUUGAUGGAGAACGCAACUUAUAUGUUGCUAACAUGGAUUUUUCUGAUCCUGUUAUUCUCUAUGAGGCAUUUGAUGAUGAUGAUAUCGUUCCAAGCAUUCAAGAAAAUCAACAUAUUGGUGGAAGUGGAAGUGCAACGUAACUUUGGUUUAUGAAUGAUGAUGUAAUAUCUAAUAUGUAUUGAUGUAUGAACUAUGAAGGCGUUUGAUGAUGAAGAAUAUGUAUUGAUGACUCUAUGAACUGUGUUUUCUGUGAACUCAAAACUAGAGUACAUUUUUUGUUGAAUGUUG